rnacentral:rRNA from 1 species
UACAGAGGUCUCAAGCGUUGUUCGGAUUCAUUGGGCGUAAAGGGUGCGUAGGCGGCGCGGUAAGUCGGGUGUCGAAAUCUCGGAGCUUAACUCCGAAACUGCAUUCGAUACUGCCGUGCUUGAGGACUGGAGAGGAGACUGGAAUUUACGGUGUAGCGGUGAAAUGCGUAGAUAUCGUAAGGAAGACCAGUGGCGAAGGCGGGUCUCGUGGGACAGUUCCUGACGUGAGGCACGAAGGCCCAGGGGAGCAAACGGG